GAACAAAUCGCAUUGGUGCGCAGCCCUGCCAGCGCCAGCUGUUGGGGGCUCUGAGUGUUUUGGAUUUUUGGGGUCUCUCUCAGUAUUAUUGUGGGGCUGCCUGCCUCUCACGUAACUACGCCAAGUGUUUGCUUAUAAUUAGUGCAAGUGGAUUGGAGCAAAUACUCCCCCCCUCUCGAGUGCAAGUGACCGCCACCGCCGUUCAAAGAGCAACGUACGGUACUUUAAAACUCUCCACCAACAAAGGAAAGGAGCCACCCGCCCCCCACUGGUGGGUCAUCGAUGUGUGACUUUCGCCCGAAGGCCCUGAACGACACAGGAAUCAAAUGAAACAAAGCAGUCUCCAGUCCCCCGCCCACACGUAUACAGGGCAGGCGCGCCAGUAAAGAAGAGCUUCUUUGUUGUCUUGUUUUUAUGUUGGUUGGUUGUUCCAUUUCAUUUGCAACGGAAGAGAAGCCAUCACGCAUAGCCGCCAGAGAUCUCUUACAGCAACAGGCAGCAGCACAAGCAGCGGCACAGGCAACAUGACUGAGAGCGAGGAACUGAUGAACAAGUAUGGCGAGCCCUUGCGCUAUGAUCGGAAUUUCAAGGGACCACGUCAGCGGGAUCGCAGCUGCACGGAUGUGCCCUGCCUGCUGCUGUUCGUACUCUUCCUGGCUGGUUGGGGCUUCAUUGCCCACUAUGCGAUCACCCAUGGCGAUCUCAACAAGCUGAUGGUGCCGACGGACUCGUUCAAUCAGAAGUGCGGCAUCGAUUCGCCUGUUCUGCACAAAAAGAAUUUGUUCUUCUUCAAUCUGGAGCAGUGCAUUGACCCGCUCGUGCCGAUUACUGGCUGCCCCACACCACAAGUAUGCGUGGAGAGCUGUCCCACACAAACGUUCAUCUGGGACACCAUGCACGACAGCCUGAGCUAUGAGGAGCUGAGGAGUCGGCUCAUCUGUUUGACGGAUGAGCACAAGGCGAAAAUUCGCAGCAAAGCCGAUAUGCAGCGGGCCAUCGAUCAGAAUCUCUGCGCUCGCUGGUACAUCAAGAGUGCGCCCUUCCUCAAUCGCUGUUUAUUCGAGUUCUCGCCACAGAUGUGCGAGUUUAUUCCCUCGUUUCUGCUGAAGGGCGGUCGGUCGCGUCGCCAGCUAAUGCUGCCCGGCAAUGCCACGUCGGAGCCGGAACUGCAGGCCCAAGCCAUGGCUCUGAGCAUGUCUCAGGCUUUGGUGCUGCCGCAAUCGAACGGCAGGCUGGAGCCCGUGGAAGAAGAGCCAGCGGUGCAGUGCCGACGAAGGCUGAACGAUGCCGUGAUCAAGGAGAAGAUGAAACAAACGGACACACGGCUGGCCAAGAUGGUGGGCAACCUGGUGGCGCAUUUCUACAACGGCACCCACGAUGCCCAGCGGCUGGGCGAGGAGAUUGUCGAGGAUCUUGUCAAUUCCUGGUCCAUUAUCCUGGUGGCCUGCUUCUGUACUUUGAUCGCCUCGCUGGUGUUUAUUGCCCUGAUGCGUUGGCUCUCGGCGCCCAUACUGUGGUUCUCUAUCUUUGGCGUCCUCACCGGCCUUCUGGUUGCCAUCUAUUACACCGUCCGGCAGUACAUCUUCUGGGAGAAGACGCCCACCGUCCCGAUACAUGGUCUCAAUCUGCAGUCGACGGUGAAGAAUGUUCUGCAGAACCAAAAGACCUGGCUCUAUCUGUCCAUCUUUGUGGGCGUGUGUUUUGUGGUGAUCCUGCUGUUGGUGAUUGUCCUGCGGAAGCGCAUCCGCAUUGCCAUCGCCCUGACCAAGGAGGGCAGCAAGGCCGUCAGCAGUGUCUUCAGCACCGUCUUCUUUCCCAUCUUCUCGUGGGUGCUCUUCAUAGCCGCGAUCGCCUUUGCCAUCGGCGUGGGUCUCUAUUUGGGCUCCAUAGGACAACUAUCGUUUCGCAUGGUGCAGCGCCUGAACGAAGCCGGCGAAGUGACCAAGGAGCGCUGCGUGUGCGAGGGUCCAGCCAUCAACUAUACGGUGGGCAGUGCCUGCGAUCCGCAGUUGUUUGAAAAGCACUGCUACAAUCCGGAGGCCUCGACGACCGGCUUCUUCCAGCAAUCGCAGCGAGUGGCCUGCUCCCAGACGACAUGCAGCUUCCUGGACAUCGACAAUCCGCCGCUGAUCAAAUGGGCCAUUUUCUACAACAUUUUCGGCUUCCUCUGGCUGAGCUUCUUUAUUUCUGCCUUCAGCGACAUGGUGCUGGCGGCCACAUUUGCCAGCUGGUAUUGGACGUUCAAGAAGCGCGAUGUGCCCUACUUUACGCUGGCACGAGCCUUCGGCCAGACGGCCUUCUACCAUUUGGGGACGCUGGCCUUUGGAUCGCUCAUCCUGGCCGUGGUGCGUCUCAUCCGCCUGGUGCUGGAGUACAUCAAUGAGAAGCUGAAGAAGUACGACAAUGCUGUGACCAGGGCGAUACUCUGCUGCAUGCGCUGCUUCUUCUGGCUGCUGGAGACAUUCCUGAAGUUCCUCAAUCGGAAUGCGUACAUCAUGUGCGCCAUCCAUGGCAAGAGCUUUUGCACCAGCGCCAAGGAUGCCUUCAAUCUGAUAAUGCGCAACUUUUUGCGGGUCAUAACCUUGGAUCAGGUCACCGACUUUCUCUUCUUUAUAUCCAAGCUGCUGCUCACGGCCGGUGCGGGCGUGGCCACCUAUUAUUUUCUGGCCAACAAUCCGGCCAUUGUGCAGCUCCAUCAUAGGGCUGUGCCCACCACAGUCGUCGUGAUAGCAGCCUUUCUCAUAACCAGCGUGUUCUUUGGCGUCUACUCGACGGCCGUGGACACGUUGUUCUUGUGCUUCCUCGAGGAUUGCGAGCGAAACGAUGGCACGCCGGAAAAGCCCUUCUUCAUGUCCAAGCAGCUAAUGAAGAUUCUAGGAAAGAAGAACAAGCUGCCGCCACGUCAGCGUCGCAGCAAAUAGAGGAAAAUCGAAAUGACAGUGCAAACUAAAAGAUAAUGGAAACUCAUCUAUAUACAUAUAUUUAUAAAUAUUAUUACAUAUAUCCCAUACCUUAUCUAUUGGGUUGUGAGCCCCAUUGCUCAAAGCCUCAGAGGAUGACGAGAAGUAGAGCUGCAAUAAGAUUUACAUGAAAUUUACACUACUUAAACCCUAUGUAAAUUUGAUUUGAAAAACGAAGACGGAGGAAGGAAACGUCUGUCUGGACAUCAUGUGAUAAGCGCAUACGACACUAAAGACCAAAAGCAAUAUAAAACCUUUAAAAAAAAAAACAUUUACA